rnacentral:rRNA from 1 species
AGAGUUUGAUCCUGGCUCAGAACGAACGCUGGCGGCAUGCCUAAUACAUGCAAGUCGAACGAGAUCUUCGGAUCUAGUGGCGCACGGGUGCGUAACGCGUGGGAAUCUGCCCUUGGGUUCGGAAUAACUUCUGGAAACGGAAGCUAAUACCGGAUGAUGACGUAAGUCCAAAGAUUUAUCGCCCAAGGAUGAGCCCGCGUAGGAUUAGCUAGUUGGUGGGGUAAAGGCCCACCAAGGCGACGAUCCGUAGCUGGUCUGAGAGGACGACCAGCCACACUGGAACUGAGACACGGUCCAGACUCCUACGGGAGGCAGCAGUGGGGAAUUUUGGACAAUGGGGGCAACCCUGAUCCAGCCAUUCCGCGUGAGUGAAGAAGGCCUUCGGGUUGUAAAGCUCUUUCAGCAGGAACGAAACGGUGGCUACUAAUACUAGCUACUAAUGACGGUACCUGAAGAAGAAGCACCGGCUAACUACGUGCCAGCAGCCGCGGUAAUACGUAGGGUGCGAGCGUUAAUCGGAAUUACUGGGCGUAAAGCGUGCGCAGGCGGUUAUGUAAGACAGGUGUGAAAUCCCCGGGCUUAACCUGGGAACUGCGCUUGUGACUGCAUAACUCGAGUGUGGCAGAGGGGGGUGGAAUUCCACGUGUAGCAGUGAAAUGCGUAGAGAUGUGGAGGAACACCGAUGGCGAAGGCAGCCCCCUGGGUCAACACUGACGCUCAUGCACGAAAGCGUGGGGAGCAAACAGGAUUAGAUACCCUGGUAGUCC